CCCUAGCCCAGAUUGGAGCAUUUGUUUGAGCUCAUUUUCAAUAGUUUCGGUUCGGCGGCUUUGCCGCCGAACCGAAACUAUUGAAAAUAGCGAGUGCGGAAAGCUGGAAACAGC
rnacentral:misc_RNA from 1 species